AUUCCCCAAGUGGAAGAAACAAGGGAGGGUGGGCAGGCUAAUUAGCUCAACUCUUCCUGAGUGUAGCCAGGCUGCCUGGAGACUGCUGUUUGCAGGGGUGAGAGAAGACUCCGGACGAGAGAAAAGCCCCCUGCUCUGUUUUCCUUGGCCACUUGCGCCACUUGUUUUAAAAGGUAGGAUUUUUCUCAGGAACUAUUCUUAGCUUUGUUCUCAGUCCUUCCCAGUAGAAAACUCCCAGCCUGGUCAUGUUUCAAGAUAUAACUUUGAUUUUUAUUGUUGCCAGAGAGGAGAUGCAGAAGUUCCAAAUAACAAUAAGAUGCCACUAAAAGUCCAAGGAGUAAGGGUCAUUUUUCCUUAAAAUUAAAAGUAGGUGAUUUGAGAGAGGAGACAGGAACAUACCUGAAGUUUCUAGGUCUCUCUACAGCUAUAUCAGUCAUAGAAACCAAAAUAAGAUGGUUCAUUAGGCAAAUGUUCUCUAUUUGGACAUGGCUGUAUAGCUAAUAGUGAAUAUUUAAAUGCAGCAUUAAUGAGCAAUCACUGCAGACCACUAGUUUACAUAUAUUGCUUUGUACUUAUUUCAUGACCUGAAAGGUAGCCAUUAAAUCCAUCUUACAAAAGAGAAAACAGAAAACCAGAGAGGUUAAAAAUUUGUCCUUUUUUUUUUCAGCUACUAACUGGCAGAACUUGGGUUCAAAUCCACAUCUGUAUCAUCCCAAAGCUUGGAUCCUUUUGGUUUCUG
rnacentral:lncRNA from 1 species